rnacentral:rRNA from 1 species
CAGCGGCGCACGGGUGAGUAACACGUAGGUAACCUGCCUUCGAGACUGGGAUAACCUGUCGAAAGACGGGCUAAUACCAGAUAAGACCACGGGGGCCUUGGCCUCUGCGGCAAAAGGUGGCCUCUGCUUGCAAGCUACUACUCGAAGAUGGGCCUGCGCGCCAUUAGCUAGUUGGUGGGGUAACGGCCCACCAAGGCAAAGAUGGCUAGCUGGUCUGAGAGGAUGGCCAGCCACACUGGGACUGAGACACGGCCCAGACUCCUACGGGAGGCAGCAGUGGGGAAUAUUGCGCAAUGGGCGAAAGCCUGACGCAGCGACGCCGCGUGGGUGAUGAAGGCCUUCGGGUCGUAAAGCCCUGUCGGGGGGGACGAAACCUUGGCGACCUAACACGUCGCCGAUCUGACGGUACCUCCUAAGGAAGCACCGGCUAACUCCGUGCCAGCAGCCGCGGUAAUACGGAGGGUGCAAGCGUUGUUCGGAAUCACUGGGCGUAAAGCGCGUGUAGGCGGCCCCUUAAGUCUGGUGUGAAAGCCCGGGGCUUACCCCCGGAAGGGCACUGGAGACUGGGAGGCUUGAGUACCGGAGAGGAGGGUGGAAUUCCUGGUGUAGCGGUGAAAUGCGUAGAUAUCAGGAGGAACACCGGUGGCGAAGGCGGCCCUCUGGACGGCUAC